AUUGAACGCUGGCGGAAUGCUUUACACAUGCAAGUCGAACGGUAGAGGGGGCAACCCCUUGAGAGUGGCGAACGGGUGAGUAAUAUAUCGGAACGUGCCCAGUCGUGGGGGAUAAUGUAGCGAAAGUUACGCUAAUACCGCAUACGAUCUAAGGAUGAAAGCGGGGGAUCGCAAGACCUCGCGCGACUGGAGCGGCCGAUAUCAGAUUAGGUAGUUGGUAGGGUAAAGGCCUACCAAGCCAACGAUCUGUAGCUGGUCUGAGAGGACGACCAGCCACACUGGAACUGAGACACGGUCCAGACUCCUACGGGAGGCAGCAGUGGGGAAUUUUGGACAAUGGGCGAAAGCCUGAUCCAGCCAUUCCGCGUGCAGGAUGAAGGCCCUCGGGUUGUAAACUGCUUUUGUACAGAACGAAAAGGUUUCUAUUAAUACUAGGAGCUCAUGACGGUACUGUAAGAAUAAGCACCGGCUAACUACGUG
rnacentral:rRNA from 1 species